GUGCCAGCAGCUGCGGUAAGACGGAGGGGCAAGCGUUGUUCGGAAUUAUUGGGCGUAAAGGGCUCGUAGGCGGAUCUGUAAGUCUGACGUGAAAUCUACACCGCUCACCGGGUAGCUUGCGUUGGAUACUGCAGAUCUGGAGUUCGGUAGAGGAUCGUGGAAUUUCGGGUGUAGCGGUGGAAUGCGUAGAUAUCCGAAAGAACACCGGUGGCGAAGGCGGCGAUCUGGGCCUGAACUGACGCUGAGGAGCGAAAGCCAAGGGAGCAAACGGGAUUAGAUACCCCGGUAGUCCUGGCUGUAACGGUGGAUACGUAGGUGUGGGUGGUAU
rnacentral:rRNA from 1 species